rnacentral:misc_RNA from 1 species
UCGCGGCUUAUCACCGGCAGUCUCCUUAGAGUGCUCAACUAAAUGGUAGCAACUAAGGACAAGGGUUGCGCUCGUUGCGGGACUUAACCCAACAUCUUACGACACGAGCUGACGACAGCCAUGCAGCACCUAUCUCCCUGUCCCCGAAGGGAAAGCCGCAUCUCUGCGGAUGUCAGGGGAUGUUAAGCCCAGGUAAGGUUCUGCGCGUUGCUUCGAAUUAAACCACAUACUCCACCGCUUGUGCGGGCCCCCGUCAAUUCCUUUGAGUUUUAGUCUUGCGACCGUACUCCCCAGGCGGGAUACUUAAUGCGUGAGCUUCGGUACCCAGAAGGUUAACUUUCCGGACACCUAGUAUCCAUAGUUUACGGCGUGGACUAC